AAAACGACUCUCGGCAACGGAUAUCUCGGCUCUCGCAUCGAUGAAGAACGUAGCGAAAUGCGAUACUUGGUGUGAAUUGCAGAAUCCCGUGAACCAUCGAGUCUUUGAACGCAAGUUGCGCCCCAGGCCUUUAGGCCGAGGGCACGUCUGCCUGGGUGUCACG
rnacentral:rRNA from 1 species